UACGUAGGGGGCAAGCGUUGUCCGGAAUCAUUGGGCGUAAAGCGCGUGUAGGCGGCUCGGUAAGUCUGCUGUGAAAGUCCAGGGCUCAACCCUGGGAUGCCGGUGGAUACUGUCGAGCUCGAGUCCGGAAGAGGCGAGUGGAAUUCCUGGUGUAGCGGUGAAAUUCGUAGAUAUCGGGUGGAACACCUGUGGCGAAGGCGGCCAUCUGGACGUUCACUGACGCUGAGACGCGAAAAGCGUGGGGGAGCAAACAGGG
rnacentral:rRNA from 1 species